rnacentral:misc_RNA from 1 species
UUUUUGUUAGAGAGAGAAACUGGAACAAUUUCUAGAGAGAGAAAAGAUAUUUUUGUUUUCUGCCUUCUUUCUCAAUGCCAUUUUAUAACAUGACAUAUAUAUAUGUUAGGGUUUAUUCUUCUUUCUUCUGUUUAUGUUUCUUGGUUUUUUCUGGAUCUUACACCAUAACGUCUUCGCUAAGUUUCCUCGAUUUCUAGGGUUUUUCUUCUCUUUCUUCAACAGGUUUUUCAUUUCGGUGAUAAAUUGAAGUUUGGUAAGGGGAACUGCUUAAAGCUUGCUUGGGAGUCGGAAGUAAAUUUAUUUCUACUUUGUUUGGGAAAAGGGAUUUUGCAGUUGAAGUUUUUGUAUUGUGUAUUGUGAUGAGUACACGAACUUCAUGGGCAGAUUUGGCUGCAAAUUCUGCAGCUGAGAACACAACGGCGGGUUCUUCUGCUAACAAUGCAAGUGUAGGCACUACUUCAGCAGCUCCUGCCCGAUCCACCUACGUUCCUCCACACCUCCGUAAUCGUGUGCCCUCCUCAGACCCACCAGCUCCGGCUUAUAGUGGGCCUGCAUCGAGUAAUGAUCGUCAGGGGUAUGGUGGACCUGCAUCGAGUAAUGAUCGUCAGGGGUAUGGUGGAUCCCGUUGGGGGCCUCCCAGAAAUGACUAUCGGUCUGGGUAUGGUGUUGGUGGUGUUGGUGGUAGAACUGGCGGUUGGGGCAACAGAAGUGGUGGCUGGGAUCGUGGGAGAGAGAGGGAAGUUAACCCAUUCGGUGAUGAUGAUGAUACAGAGCAGGCAUUUUCUGAGCAAGAGAAUACUGGUAUUAACUUUGAUGCAUACGAGGAUAUUCCAGUUGAGACAAGUGGGGAAAAUGUCCCUCCACCUGUAAAUACCUUUGCAGAGAUUGACUUGGGUGAAGCAUUAAAUCAGAACAUCCGCAGGUGCAAAUAUGUGAAACCAACUCCUGUGCAACGGCAUGCAAUCCCAAUAUCUCUUGCAGGCCGGGAUCUGAUGGCAUGUGCCCAAACUGGUUCUGGCAAGACUGCCGCAUUCUGUUUCCCAAUUAUUAGUGGAAUUAUGAAAAUGCAAGGGCAGAGUGCACAGAGGCCACUGCGUGGUGCACGUACAGUGUACCCUCUAGCUCUUAUUCUUUCUCCAACCAGGGAGCUUUCAAUGCAGAUACAUGAGGAAGCAAGGAAAUUCUCUUAUCAAACAGGUGUUAAGGUAGUCGUUGCUUAUGGAGGAGCACCACUUAAUCAACAGCUACGGGAACUGGAGAGAGGUGUUGAUAUUAUUGUAGCAACUCCAGGAAGACUGGUAGAUUUAUUGGAGAGAGCUAGAGUUUCAUUACAGAUGGUCAAGUAUUUGGCCCUAGAUGAGGCAGAUAGGAUGUUGGAUAUGGGUUUUGAGCCACAAAUAAGAAAAAUUGUGGAACAAAAUGAUAUGCCUCUACCAGGUGCAAGACAGACGAUGUUGUUCAGUGCUACCUUUCCAAAAGAGAUACAGAGGCUAGCUUCUGAUUUCUUGUUUAAUUAUAUCUUUUUGGCUGUUGGACGAGUGGGCUCAAGUACAGAUUUGAUUGUCCAAAGAGUUGAAUUUGUUCAUGAGUCUGACAAAAGAAGUCACCUUAUGGACCUUCUUCAUGCACAGAGGGCAAAUGGUGUUCAAGGCAAGCAAGCUUUAACAUUAGUUUUUGUGGAGACAAAGAAGGGAGCCGAUGCUCUGGAAUAUUGGUUGUGUGGUAAUGGGUUUCCUGCGACAACAAUUCAUGGUGAUAGGACGCAACAGGUGAGUUAUUCAGGUUCAGAUUUCCUUAAAAGAAAGAUGGGAAGAUAACACGAUGUUCUAUAUUUUGUUUAUCCCUGUAAUCAGUUGUUGUCAGUGUAGAGUAGUGUUAUGAUGGUUGGUUGCUAGAUUCUUAAUAUUGCAUGAGAUGAUGGCCAGUAUUGUUAUGAUUUAGGAAAGAAAUAGGUGGUAUUUACCAAUCUUGAUGCAAAAUUUUCAGUAGAAACUUUCUCUGGGUUAUAUAUUGCAAUCCUUUUCUCAUGAUAUGCAUUUACGCUUUUUAGCCGUAGCAGUGUCUUGAACCUAAUUAUUUUUGUUGUUAUGGGUUUUGUUUGCAGGAAAGGGAAAUGGCACUAAGAUCAUUCAAAAGUGGCAAGACACCAAUUUUAGUAGCAACAGAUGUGGCAGCUCGUGGUCUUGACAUUCCUCAUGUGGCUCAUGUAGUAAAUUUUGAUCUUCCCAAUGACAUUGAUGAUUAUGUUCACAGGAUAGGGCGAACAGGACGAGCAGGAAAAACAGGUCUAGCCACAGCCUUCUUUAAUGAGAACAAUACUUCGAUUGCGAGAUCUCUAGCUGAUUUAAUGCAAGAAGCAAAUCAGGAAGUACCUGCUUGGCUCACUCGUUAUGCUUCACGGGUUUCCUAUAGUGGUGGUAAGAAUCGGCGGACUGGGGGUGGCCGAUUUGGUGGCCGUGACUUUAGAAGGGAGGGCUCUUUUAAUAGAGGCAUGGACUAUUAUGGUGGAGGGAAUAGCAGUGGUGGAUAUGGGGUUCCUGGCGGUUACGGAGGGGGAUAUGGUCCGGGUGUGGCAAGCGCCUGGGAUUAGUUUCCCACAUUAAAGUGGAUUCAAAUUCUCUUGUUUUCUCACGAGUAUAUAAUUUUUUUUUCACCUUUAGAAUCAAGGAACAAAAUUUUAAUACUCCAUUGUUCUUGAUUUGUUUUUCAUUCGGUUCUAAAUGUUGAAAGUUGUAUGGUGUUCCAUACUUUUGUCGCGUUACCCAAAUAUUGAAACUAACCAAAGUAUGCUUUAGAUGUUAAUGAGCGAUCAAACCUUAAACCAAAACAACCUUUGGGUUAUUAAUUGUGUUUGUAAGUUGCAAUUUCUUGCCCUCUGAAGCCCUUUGAAAUGGUUAGCAGUUUUUAACAUAAGAAUUUUCCCCAAUGAAUGUGUUCGCCAUUAGCCUCAUUUAUGACUCGAGCUUUUAGGAUUUUUG